rnacentral:rRNA from 1 species
AUGACCGGACUCCCUCUCGCCGCCUGCGUCCUCGCCUUCCACCUCUGCCUUCUCCUCUCGCCGUCCUCUUCACUCCCGGCAGUAGUCGACCAUGGCGUGGGCAUCAGGCCCGCUUACCACUUCCUGCCCGCCAAAAACUGGCAGAACGAUCCGAAUGGGCCAAUGUACCACAAGGGUGUGUACCACUUGUUCUACCAGUACAACCCGCUUGGCGCCAUGUGGGGCACCGGCAACCUCUCCUGGGGUCACUCCGUCUCCCGCGAUCUCGUCAACUGGGUCGCGCUCCACACCGCGCUCGACCCCACCGCCCCCUUCGAUGCGAAUGGUUGUUGGUCAGGCUCCGCCACCGUUCUCCCGAGCGGCGUCCCAGCCUUACUAUACACCGGCAUCGACGCCCAUAAGGUGCAGGUGCAAAACGUCGCCUUCCCCAAGAACCCUGCUGACCCAUUCCUCCGCGAGUGGGUGAAGCCCACCUACAACCCUGUCAUCCUGCACCCGGCCGACGUCCCCGGCGACAGCUUCCGUGACCCUUCGACGGCGUGGAUAGGCAGCGACGGUAUGUGGCGCAUCGCCGUUGCAGCCAAGGUCGGCGGCCCCAUGGGCAUUGCCUCCGCCCUUGUCUACCGGAGCAAGGAAUUACGGCGCUGGAAGCGGAAUGCCUCGCCGUUGUACACGUCACGCGCCGCCAUCAUGGUUGAGUGCCCAGACCUGUUCCCAGUGGUGAGGCCGGACACGGAGGAGGGGCGGCUCGACUACGCAUCCAUUGCAGCGACCGGUGCUGUGAGGCACGUGCUGAAGCUGAGUGUGAUGAACACGACUCAAGACUACUACGCGGUUGGGAGGUAUGACGACACGGCGGACACCUUCACGCCACAGGAGGACGUGGAGCGCAACAUGGAUGAUUGUCGAACUUGGCGUCGUAUCGACUAUGGCCAUGUGUAUGCAUCCAAGUCCUUCUUUGACGCAGGGAAGAACCGACGCGUGUUGUGGGCGUGGGCCAACGAGUCCGAUAGCCAGGCCGACGAUAUUGCUAGGGGCUGGUCCGGCGUCCAGACGGUUCCGAGGAAGGUGUGGCUAGACGGCGAUGGGAAGCAGCUUCGACAGUGGCCGAUUGAGGAGAUCGAGACGCUGAGGAGGAAACAAGUCAUCAGCUUGCUCGGAGCGCAAGUGAACGCCGGUGGCAUUAACGAGAUCGUUGGUGCAGGCGCACAAGCUGAUGUGGAGGCUGUCUUUGAGAUCCCUUCCCUGGAAGAGGCCGAGAGCUUCGAUCCCAUCUGGCUGUUGGACCCGCAAAAGUUGUGCGCGGAGAAGGGUGCGUGUGCGCGGGGCGGGGUCGGCCCAUUUGGGCUACUCGCCAUGGCCUCUAGCGACUUGCGUGAGUACACAUCCGUCUUCUUUAGGGUGUUCAAAUACAAUCAGAAGUACAAAGUCCUCAUGUGCACUGACCUCACAAGAUCGACUACGAGGGCCAAUGUGUACAAGCCAUCGUACGGAGGCUUUGUGGACAUGGACAUCGAGGAGCACAAGAGGAGUAUAUCUCUUAGAACAUUGAUUGACCAUUCGAUGGUAGAGAGUUUCGGAGGAGGGGGGCGCACAUGCAUCACGGCACGUGUUUACCCUAAGCACGUGGAGAAGAGCAAUAGCCACAUGUACCUGUUCAACAACGGAACCGGUGUUGUGAAGGUGUCCAGGCUCGAAGCAUGGAAGCUGGCAACGGCGACCGUAAACGCCGUCCCUCGUGGGUCAUAA